rnacentral:rRNA from 1 species
UACAGAGGUCCCAAGCGUUGUUCGGAUUCAUUGGGCGUAAAGGGUGUGUAGGUGGCGCCGUAAGUCGGGUGUGAAAUUUCGGAGCUUAACUCCGAACCUGCAUUCGAUACUGCGGUGCUUGAGGACUGGAGAGGAGAUUGGAAUUCAUGGUGUAGCAGUGAAAUGCGUAGAGAUCAUGAGGAAGACCAGUGGCGAAGGCGGGUCUCUGGACAGUUCCUGACACUGAGGCACGAAGGCCAGGGGAGCAAACGGG